UACGUAGGUGGCAAGCGUUGUCCGGAUUUACUGGGCGUAAAGAGCGCGCAGGCGGUCGUGCAAGUCGCGUGUGAAAGCCCCCGGCUCAACUGGGGAGGGUCACGCGAUACUGUUCGACUCGAAGGCAGGAGAGGGAAGCGGAAUUCCCGGUGUAGUGGUGAAAUGCGUAGAUAUGUGGAGGAACACCAAUGGCGAAGGCAGCCCCCUGGGUCAACACUGACGCUCAUGCACGAAAGCGUGGGGAGCAAACAGG
rnacentral:rRNA from 1 species